rnacentral:rRNA from 1 species
GUUGAACGCUAGCGGCAGGCUUAAUACAUGCAAGUCGAGGGGUAACAGGUCUGUAGCAAUACAGAUGCUGACGACCGGCAAACGGGUGCGGAACACGUACAGAACCUUCCUUCGAGUGGGAGAUAGCCCAGGGAAACUUGGAGUAAUAUCCCAUAGGAUCAUAGAGUGCAUCACUUAGUGAUUAAAGAUUUAUCGCUUGAAGAUGGCUGUGCGGCUGAUUAGGUAGUUGGUGUAGGUAACGGCUCACCAAGCCUUCGAUCAGUAACUGGUGUGAGAGCACGACCAGUCACACGGGCACUGAGACACGGGCCCGACUCCUACGGGAGGCAGCAGUAAGGAAUAUUGGGCAAUGGAGGCAACUCUGACCCAGCCAUGCCGCGUGGAAGAUGAAGGUCCUCUGGAUUGUAAACUUCUUUUAUUUGGGAAGAAAUGCCAAUUUUCUAAUUGGUUUGACGGUACCAGAUGAAUAAGCACCGGCUAACUCCGUGCCAGCAGCCGCGGUAAUAC